rnacentral:rRNA from 1 species
UACGUAGGGUGCAAGCGUUGUCCGGAAUUAUUGGGCGUAAAGGGCUCGUAGGCGGUCCAUCGCGUCGGGAGUGAAAAGCUGGGGCUUAACCCCAGUCCUGCUUCCGAUACGGGUGGACUAGAGGUAGGUAGGGGAGAACGGAAUUCCUGGUGUAGCGGUGAAAUGCGUAGAUAUCAGGAGGAACACCAAUGGCGAAGGCAGCUCGCUGGGACGUGACUGACGCUGAGACGCGAAAGCGUGGGGAGCAAACAGG